GAUGAACGCUGGCGGCGUGCCUAAUACAUGCAAGUCGAGCGAACGGACGAGAAGCUUGCUUCUCUGAUGUUAGCGGCGGACGGGUGAGUAACACGUGGAUAACCUACCUAUAAGACUGGGAUAACUUCGGGAAACCGGAGCUAAUACCGGAUAAUAUUUUGAACCGCAUGGUCCAAAAGUGAAAGACGGUCUUGCUGUCACUUAUAGAUGGAUCCGCGCUGCAUUAGCUAGUUGGUAAGGUAACGGCUUACCAAGGCAACGAUGCAUAGCCGACCUGAGAGGGUGAUCGGCCACACUGGAACUGAGACACGGUCCAGACUCCUACGGGAGGCAGCAGUAGGGAAUCUUCCGCAAUGGGCGAAAGCCUGACGGAGCAACGCCGCGUGAGUGAUGAAGGUCUUCGGAUCGUAAAACUCUGUUAUUAGGGAAGAACAGAUGUGUAAGUAACUGUGCACGUCUUGACGGUACCUAAUCAGAAAGCCACGGCUAACUACGUG
rnacentral:rRNA from 1 species